GGAAAAAAAAAGUCGUCUGAGAAGACGAUCGUGUCACCUUGGCGCCUCCGUUUCUGAAUCCCCCCCGAACAUAAUAGAGGACAUCAAAACAGCCGUCUGUCUCUGAAGGUUAGUCUGAACAUAAUCAAAGGCGAGAAAAGCUUUACUGAGCAACACCAGGAUUGAGUCGUCUGUGAAUGAAAGCUGUGCAGAACAGUUCUCAGAAAACAAGUCACCAGUUCAGAUCCAAAUCGUUACCGGAAUGAGUUUUGCCCUUAGCUUAGCGUACGCACAUACUUGGUGAGUGCCAAACAUUACGUCUUGGGAAAAAAGAAAACAAAACCUGUCUGGCUCCAUGCGGCAAAAGAAAGUCGCGGCGUAGUUGUAAAGCUUAUCAUAACGUCUGUUAGCCCGUUAUUUUAGGAGAGUAGUGUUUGUGAUUGUAAAAAGAAGGGUUUCCUCUUUAAACCGGUCUAAAGGAAAGGCAGGGCGUUCAUUGUAGCCCCUCAAAUUACCAAUCUGCAUGGAGCAUUAUUCUGCCUGUUGUUGAAGGAAGCAGUCCGAUAGCAGUCCGAACUAUUUUAUUGUACGUACUGACCUCUAAAAAAUACUGCUGUGUCUUUCGAGCUUCGAACGUUUGGUUAUAAUGGUCCUUCAGUUUGACUUUGGAUUACGUGGAUAACUGCUUCCUUACGAACGUUGGACGAGAAUCACAAGAAGGGAGAUCAAGGAUGUUUAGAAGUACCCAAACAAGGCACUCGAGUUGACAGUCUCCACGAGAUUUUGCGGCCUUAGGCCUAGAGAUGAUUAUCAUCACAGUCAUUAAAUAGUUUUUUCGUAUCAGUGCGUGCCCUAUUUGAGAGAUAAAAAUCUUUAAAUUACUUUUAGGUAUCUCAACGUGAUUUGCGAGACGAGAAGUUUCUGAAUGUGCACGUCCAAUGACAGUUUCAGGAGGUUGAAUGUGCCUAGUCGUUUGACAAUAAAUCAAAUGGUUUGAUCGA